ensembl:lncRNA
GCCUCUGCCCGGGCUGCUGUGUCCUGCGGAGCUCCGAGCACGUGCAGUGCCCAGCUGCCAGUUUGAGGAGAUGCUUGCCCUGGAUGCCUUGAAAGUAGGGUGGUCUUCACCAGGCUAAAAGAAUGAUUGGGGAUUUAGCUCAGCGGUAGAGCGCCUGCCUAGCAAGAGGAAGGCCCUGGAAGGCCCUGGGUUCGGUCCCCAGCUCCGGAAAAGAAAAGAAAACAAAACAAAACAAAAAAGAAUGAUCCACAGCAGGGUGCUGUGGUUCUCAGAGCUGAAUGAGAUCUGCGUCCAUCCAGGACUUCAGGUUUCUGACUACACCGGGUUUUGAGUAAUGUAUGUGGUCUCUGAUGUAGAGGUACUUCAGUUCAGAUGGGGGAAGUUAAGUUUGCCUUAGAGGGUUACAGAACUGAUGAAAUUCCAGAGAAUGAAGUCCAGCUAUGCUUUGGCAGAUGGGACAGCUCACACCCACGACCUCUGAGUUACAUACAUCUCCAGCUAUAAUUUGGGGGGGGGGCUAGAUGAUAUCUGUGUACUACAUAUGGCUAGCUACUUGCUAAUUAAAAAGUAAGUGGUUUUCAGACAUAUCUAGUUGGAUGGUAGCCAUCUUAGAAUGUUCCAGAAAGUUUAGGAUACUGCUUUGUAAAAGCAAAGGUUUAUAAAGACUUUUUAAAUUUAUUUUUAUUAUUUAUUUAUUUAUUUUUUAAUAUUUUUUAUUUUUAUUUUUUAUCCCUAUAGUAAAUGUUGUUAGUACUGUCUUUGGCUUUUGCAACUAUGUUGCUUCUGUGUGUGAAAAGUAAUGUAUCGGCAAAUGAACAUGGCUAUAUUCCAAUAAAACAUAACUGAUGAACACUGACAUUGGGAUUUCAUUGGCAAUUUCAGAGUCAACGUUCCCAAAUGUUUGAAAGCUUAAGAUCUUCCCAAGGCACAUUGACAAAGAGAUAGCAGGAUAAGGAUUAGUAACAUUUCUGACCUUGAGGAUUGAACAGCAUUAGUCAGGUAUCAAUAUGUAUCUUCACAGUUUUCUCUACAUAUAAUUCUCCUGGGUCAGCCUUCCAAGUACUCGAUUCAUGAACCACUUGCUAAGCUUUCAUUGGUGUUCCUUAUUGUAGAAGGAUAAGGUGACUAAAUUAUCCUGAAGAAUCCGAAUCAUACUUAUUUCUUACCUCUGGGCUUAUAUGGCUUCCAUCAUAGUUGUUCUCUCCAUUUGUAAUGGGCUUAAAGCAAAAUUUAAACAUGUGUAUGCCCCUAGAGGGCAGCAGAGGACUUUUAAUCUGCGGGAAUGGGUGCUGAGAACUUGGUGCUCUAGAGGACCAGCAAGGUAACCACUGAGCCAUCUGUCCAGAUCCAACACUUUUUCACAUGGGUCCUCAUAUGUUUGGUUGGCCUCGUACCUAAACCGCCUCCAUCCCUGAAGUGCUGGAAUAAGUAAAGACCAUCACAUCUGGCAGAUCCUGCAGCCUGUCUCCUGUCAUGGGAUUACAGGUGCCACAUCUGGUUGAUCGCCAUUUUGGAGACAGUCUUGUAUAACCACUACUGGCCUUAAACUUCACAG